CUAGAGCCCCCAUUUGCUGAAUAACAAGCCUCCUUGUUUCAUUUUUCACAAACAUUUCUUCCCUCUGUUCUCUCCACUGGGUCUAUGAACAAGGGUUUGCUCUCUGUCGGUGCUUUGGCGUUCUUCUCCUGCAGAUAUAUUCACAAGAAGUCAUCUUGGUUCACAGCCUCAUGAUGAAGAGGGCUCAGGGGCCAGAGGGCUGAUUAUGGUUCUAAUUUGCAAUUAUACAGUGAUUUUUCACACUGCUCAUGAAUGCUGACUUCCUCCCUGUUUGGGUUGGAGAGUUAGAGGGAUCUGAUUUGAUUGAAGCAGUAUAGGCUGUGAUUAUCAUAAGAAUUUGGCAUAGUAAAUUGAAUUGGGAAGUAUUGGGCAACAAAUGUAAAUUAUUUCCUUUCAUUUGUCACUCCUACACAACUGUAUAUUUACUGUUUGUGGCUGACCCUGUGUAGAAAAGUGAAAUGACUUAAUCCUAAUGCCUUUGAAAUGGGAACUGUUGAGACACCUGAGUGGUCUCUUUGAAUUCAAGAUGCAAACAGAUUGCGCUGCUGUUUGGAGGGAGCAUGGAGCUGAAACAAUAUCCCUGGAGUCUAGUAGUUUUUUUUUUUUUAAGUUCAAGUGCUCUAGGCCCACCUACUGUGGUUCUAGAUGGAUGUUUUAAAUAUUUGCAUUUUAAAAUAUUUUAAAAACUCUUAUUUCUGUGUAAUAAAAAAGUUCGGCCAGGCGCAGUGGCUCAUGCCCAUAAUCCCAGCACUUUGGGAGGCCGAGGUGGGCAGAUCACCAAAGGUCAGGAGUUUGAGACCAGCCUGGUCUACUUGGUGAAACCCUGUCUCUACUGAAAAUACACAAAAAAAAAAAAAAACAACAGCUGGGUGUGGUGAUGGGUGCCUGUUAUCCCAGCUACUGGGGAGGCUGAGGCAGGAGAAUUGCUUGAACCUGGGAGGUGGAGGAUGCAGUGAGCUGAGAUCGUGCCACUGCACUUCAGCCUGGACGAAAAAAUGAAAACGUUGGCUUGCCUUUGUCCUGGGUUCUUAGAAGGUAGAUAACCUGUAAAUAAUUGGAAUUUUCUGAUUGAGAAGAGUGUCUUCGUUUUUCAUGGUGGACCUCAAUAGUUUAAGCUAAUGAGAUGACUCAAUAUGGGAGCGGGCCACACUAGGAAGAACCAUGGUGUGAUUAGAGGGAUGGGGUUUUUAGCCAUGUGAUAUCACUCCUCAGAGGAAGAGGAGACGGGGCAUAGCCAAUGAUUCAAUCGAUUGCUCCUACAAAGUAAGACCCCAAUAAAAGCUCUAGACACUGUAAUUUAGGUGAGCUUCCCUGAUUGGCAAUACCUUGUGUAUUGUCACAUAUUAAUGUGCGGGGAGGGCAAUAAGCCCUGACUCCACUAGGAGAAGACAAUGGAAGUUUUGCAUCUGGAACCCUCUCAGACCUUGGCCUAUGUAUUCUCCUUGUGGCUGGUUCUGAUUCAUAUCCUUGUGCUAUAAUAAAACUACAAUUGUAAGUACAGAACUUUCCUGAGUUCUGUGAGUCAUUCUAGUGAGUUAUCAAACUUGAGGGGGUAACGAGCACUCCCGAGUUUGUAGCCAGUUGAUCAGAUGUGAGAGUGGCCUGGGGACCCCCAAACUUGCAGCUGGUGUCUGAAGUGAAGGCAGUCUUCUGGAGGAUUAUACCCAUGGCUUGUGAAGUUUGGCCUAACUCUGGAUAGUUGGUCUUAGAAGUCAUUGCAAUUUCUUUAACUUUUUAUCUUGAAAAAUUUAAAACUUAAAGAAAAUUUGCAAGUGUAGUACAAUGAAUACCCAUAUACUUUUCACUUAGAGUCUCCAAUUUGUUAAUGCAUUCCCAUAUUUGUGUCAUUUCUCUUUCUGUAUAUACUUUUUUUUUUCCUGAACCAAUUGAAAGUUGCAAACAUGUCAUCCCUAAACACUUCAGUACAUACCUUCUGAGAACCAGGACAUUCUCCUACAUAAUUCCAAUAGCAUGAUCACUCACAAGAAAUUUAGCAUUGAUACAAUAAUAUUAUCUAAUAUGUUUCUAUUUUCCCUAUUGUCCUUAAAAUAACCCUUAUAAUUUUUUCCUUUCAAUUUAGGAGGAUCCAGUCAAGGGUCAUGUAUUCCUUUGGUUGUUAUGUCUCCUUGGUUUCCUUAAAUCAAGAUUCCAGAACUGUCUCCUUGCUUUAUUUGUUUUUGAGACAGAGUCUUGCUCUGUUGCCCAGAUAGGAGUACAGUGGCACGAUCUUGGCUCACUGCAACCUCCACCUCCCGGGUUCAAGCAAUUCUCCUGCCUCAGCCUGCCCAGUAGCUGGGAUUACAGGCGCCUGCCACUGUGCUUAGCUAAUUUUUGUAUUUUUAAUAGAGACGGGGUUUCACCAUGUUGGCCAGGCUGGUCUGGAACUCCUGACCUUUCAGGUGAUCCACCCCCCUCGGCCUCCCAGAGUGCUGGGAUUACAGGCGUGAGCCACUGCGCCUGGCCUGUCUCCUUGUUUUUUUGUUUUUUUUUGAGACAGAGUCUCUCUCUGUCGCCCAGGCUGUAGUGCAGUGGCGCGGAUCUCGGCUCACUGCAAGCUCCGCCUCCCGGGUUCAUGCCAUUCUCCUGCCUCAGCCUCCCGAAUAGCUGGGACUACAGGCGCCCGCCACCGCACCCAGCUAAUUUUUUGUAUUUUUAGUAGAGACGGGGUUUCACUGUGUUACCCAGGAUGGUCUCAAUCUCCUGACCUUGGAUUACAGGCGUGAGCCACUGCGCCCAGCCUUGUUUUUUAUUUUAAUUUAAUUUAAUUUUGUCUGUAAUGAAAUUGACGCUUUUGAAAGGGCCACACUACCUGACUUGUAUAUUGUAAAUUGUAAUCUCAAUUUGUCUGAUUGUUUUCUCGUAAUUAGAUUCAGAUUAUAUAUCCUUAGCAAGAAUACAAACUAUGUAGAUGAUGUGUUGAUGAAAAGUUUGUACUAGUGUGAUGUCAACCAAGAUGGCAGAGUAGAAGAUCCCUUGGCAUCACUCCUCUCAAAAAAAUACAACUAGAAACUAUUCAAGACCAGAAUACCACCCUGAGUUCACCAACACACCAACACUUGGAGGAGAAGUGGAGAAAACCCUGGACGAACAGAAUUGAGAAAAUCUGUGACCGACUCUGUAAAGAAGGUUUCCUGUGCGCUGGUUACCCACUGGUCUGAGUUUGGUGAGACAGAACACCCAUGCUCACAACAAGUUAAGUAAACAAGCUUAUUACUUACAGAUAGGCAGGCAGCAAGGGACAACAGAAACCGAGGAUUCAUUGCCACCCAGUCCUCCAAGGUUCAGGAAAGCUGCCUGGGUGGAUGGAGUCUCAACUGCAUGUGCUCCACUUUCAUAGCAGCUGAGGGACCUCAGAAAGCAGCCCACACUGAGUUUUAUACCUCGGGGUUACAAGACCCUCUGGGCUAAGCCUGGAAGGACAUCUCAUUUCUAGGGAGGGAUUGGAACAGAGCCUGGACUGUCCUGACCAGCUCCCCUCUUAUCUCAGGAUGUUUUAUUUCCAGCAUGUCCUGCAGUUAUUCUUGAGAACUACAGAUAAGAAAUGGGGGGAGAACUGUCUUGGUCUAAGGCCACCCAGAGAACUGUGCUGCAGAUCCCACAUCUAGAGUUCUCUUGAGGGUCAAAUGAGAUAUCAUAAUGGGAAAUGCUUAGCUUAGUACCUGAUAUGUAGCAUUUUAAAAAAGGUAGUUAUUAAGUUAGAAAAGGGACUAUCUGCAGGAUCCCUGCAUGGGAAGAAUGCAUGGGGACACUGCAUGCAGAUGCUUAGGAAUGCUUUGUGACAAACAACAUCAUGGGAGGUGGCAGCUCAAGAAAGUUGAUCAUACUUGUGCUUUUGAAACCUUGUGAGCAGUGUUAAAGCAGAAAUAUGAAAGGGAAAACCUUUACAUGACAGCUUUCUAUGUUUUAUUGACAUCCUGGCUAAGCUGGCUCCCUGACCUGGGUCUGGUUGAUUCAGAGCUGGUGAACAAUCAUUAUCUUGCACAAGGAUGCACUAGGAAGGACCACACUCUAGCCCAGCUGGUCAUGCAGUCAUGUUGGGAAGUGCUGGUUGGCCCAGGGAAGCCAUUCCUGAUGGAUCAGAGGAAAAGGGAAGGGAGAAGUAAAUAUGAAAAGAAGCUCAAGCCCAGGCUAUGACCAGGAGAGCCAAUCCUUCAUUUGGAGCGCCACUCUUUCUUUGCCCAGAAACCUGCAGGUACAUGCAAGUCCCUGGGAGUGGCUCCAGGAAGCCCCCCUCGGGCUCUAUGUUGCUUUUUUUGAGUUAGACUCUCUGGCAUAGACUUUGUCUUUGAAAGAGGAUUUGUAAGUCGCUGUUUAUUUAUUCUUUUACUCAUUCAUUCCACAUUCAUAGAGCACUGGAUUAGUCAGGUUCUCCAGAGAAAUAGAACCAACAGAAAUAGAACCAAAGACAUGCAUUAUAAGAAAUUGUCUUACAUGAUUAUGGAGGCUGACGUGUCCCAAGAUCUGCAGGGUGAGUUGGCAAGCUGGAGGCUCAGGAGGGCCAAUGGUGUAGUUGUGGUCUGAAGGCUAGCAAGCUUGAGACCAAAAAAAAGCUGAUGUUUAAGCUCUAGCAUAAAGGCAGGAAAAACUCAAAGUCCAGUUUGAAGACUGCUGAGUAGGAAUAAUUCCCUCUUAUUUGGGAGAGGAUCAGCCUUUUUUUCUAUUCAGGCCUUCAACUGAUAGGACAAGGCCCACUCACACUGGGGAGAGCCAACCUAAUUUACUCAGCUCAUUGGUUUAAAUGUUAAUCUCAUUCAAAAACACCCUCACAGACACACCUGGAAUAAUGUUUGACCAAAUAUCUGGGCACCCUAUGGCCCAGUUAAGUUGAGACAUAAAAUUAAUCAUCACAGGGACCAACAAUGUGUCAGGCAUAUUCCAAGACACCAGGGACACAGCAGAGAACAAAUAAACAUGAGCCCUGCCUUCAUGGAGUUUACCCUUUAGAGGGAGGGUGGAUCAAAAAUCAAGUCAAUGAAUAAGACUUUUAGUGAAGGAUGAGCAUUAUGAUCAAGGGUGGCUGUUUCAUUCUGGUGAUCAGGGAGGACUUUUCUGGGCAGGUGACACUUGAAUGGAGACCUAAUUACAUAAAGGAGCUGGCCAUAGAAUGUGCUGGGGGUAGG
rnacentral:lncRNA from 10 species